AAUUCCAGCCACUUCCAGCCAUUUUUCGGGGUAGGUCCGAGAACAAAAGUGGCUCCAAUUCAUGUGUUGAACCUACCGUAGGAACCUUGGCCCUAAAUUUUUAGAAUUUUCCGGCGACAUGUUAUCGCUUUGGACACGCACGCGCUGCCGGUGCGUGUGGUGGCGCAUGGGGUACUGUGGCAGUGGGCAUUAGGUCCCAGUGCAAUCCCC
rnacentral:lncRNA from 1 species